GUUCCUGUACAAUCACUGAAGUUAAGCAAUGUUGAGCCUGGUCAGUACUGAGAUGGGUGACCAGUUGGGAAUACCAGAUG